rnacentral:rRNA from 1 species
AGUGGAUGGGGAGCAACCUAGUUGUGCGUGUGUAAAGGUAGUGCCAAGAAAAGCGAUGAUCAUGUUGAAAAUCAAUUCCCGGUACCCGAAACCGACACAGGUGGGCAAGCAGAGAAUACUAAGGGGCGCGAGGUAACUCUCUCCAAGGAACUCGGCAAAAUGACCCCGUAACUUAGGGAGAAGGGGUGCCACCGAGAGGUGGUCGCAGUGAAGAGGCCCAGGCGACUGUUUAGCAAAAACAUAGGUCUCUGCAAACUCGAAAGAGGAGGUAUAGGGGCUGACGCCUGCCCAGUGCCGGAAGGUUAAAGAAGUUGGUCAGUUUUAGGAUGAAGCUAGCGACUGAAGCCCCGGUGAACGGCGGCCGUAACUAUAACGGUCCUAAGGUAGCGAAAUUCCUUGUCGGGUAAGUUCCGACCCGCACGAAAGGCUUAACGAUCUGGGCGCUGUCUCGGAGAGAGGCUCGGCGAAAUAGGAUUGUCUGUGAAGAUACGGACUACCUGCAUUUGGACAGAAAGACCCUAUGAAGCUUUACUAUAGCUUGGAAUUGUGUUCGGGCUUCCUGUGCGCAGGAUAGGUGGGAGGCGUAGAAGGUAUUCUUGUGGGGAUACUGGAGCCAACGGUGAGAUACCACUCUCAGGAGGCUAGAAUUCUAACUUAAUUAAGGACAGUUUCAGGUGGGUAGUUUGACUGGGGCGGUCGCCUCCAAAAAGGUAACGGAGGCGUACAAAGGUUCCCUCAGACUGGUUGGAAAUCAGUCGAAGAGUGCAAAGGCAGAAGGGAGCUUGACUGCGAGAAGUACAGUUCGAGCAGGGUGGAAACACGGUCUUAGUGAUCCGACGGUGCUGUGUGGAAGGGCCGUCGCUCAACGGAUAAAAGUUACUCUAGGAUAACAGGCUGAUCUCCCCCAAGAGUUCACAUCGACGGGGAGGUUUGGCACCUCGAUGUCGGCUCAUCGCAACCUGGGGCGGAAGUACGUCCCAAGGGUUGGGCUGUUCGCCCAUUAAAGCGGUACGUGAGCUGGGUUCAGAACGUCGUGAGACAGUUCGGUCCAUAUCCGAUGUAGGCGUGAGAAUAUUGAGAGGAGCCUUCCUUAGUACGAGAGGACCGGGAAGGACGCACCGCUGGUGUACCUGUUAUGAUGCCAAUUGUAAACGCAGGGUAGCCAAGUGCGGAGAGGAUAACCGCUGAAAGCAUCUAAGUGGGAAGCCCACCUCAAGAUGAGUAUUCUGGUGUAAGGUCACGGGAAGACGACCCGUAAAUAGGCACGAGGUGGAAGUGCAGAGAUGUAUGAAGCCGAAGUGUACUAAUAGACCGUCGGCUUG